rnacentral:rRNA from 1 species
GAUGAACGCUAGCGGCAGGCCUAACACAUGCAAGUCGAGGGAGAGGUUAUCUUCGGGUAACCAAAACCGGCGCACGGGUGCGUAACGCGUAUACAAUCUGCCUUUCACAUAGGGAUAGCCCGAAGAAAUUUGGAUUAAUACCUAAUGGUAUAUAGGAGCGGCAUCGUUUUUAUAUUAAAGCUACGGUGGUGAAAGAUGAGUAUGCGUUCUAUUAGCUAGUUGGAGAGGUAACGGCUCCCCAAGGCGACGAUAGAUAGGGGUUCUGAGAGGGAUGUCCCCCACACUGGUACUGAGAUACGGACCAGACUCCUACGGGAGGCAGCAGUGAGGAAUAUUGGACAAUGGUCGGAAGACUGAUCCAGCCAUGCCGCGUGCAGGAUGAAGGUCCUAUGGAUUGUAAACUGCUUUUGUAAGGGAAGAAUAAGGAGUACGUGUACUUUGAUGACGGUACCUUACGAAUAAGCAUCGGCUAACUCCGUGCCAGCAGCCGCGGUAAUACGGAGGAUGCGAGCGUUAUCCGGAAUCAUUGGGUUUAAAGCGUCCGUAGGUUUUUUGCUAAGUCUGGAGUUAAAUGCUGAAGCUCAACUUCAGUCCGCUUUGGAUACUGGCAAAAUAGAAUUAUAAAGAGGUUAGCGGAAUUCCUAGUGAAGCGGUGGAAUGCGUAGAUAUUAGGAAGAACACCAAUAGGCGAAGGCAGCUAACUGGUUAUAUAUUGACACUAAGGGACGAAAGCGUGGGGAGCAAACAGG